GAAGACCAAGGGUUCCUGUCCAACGUUAAUCGGGGCAGGGUGAGUCGACCCCUAAGGCGAGGCCGAAAGGCGUAGUCGAUGGGAAACGGGUUAAUAUUCCCGUACUUGGUGUUACUGCGAAGGGGGGACGGAGAAGGCUAUGUUGGCCGGGCGACGGUUGUCCCGGUUUAAGCGUGUAGGUGUGUGUUCCAGGUAAAUCCGGUUCACUUUAACACUGAGGCGUGAUGACGAGGCACUACGGUGCUGAAGCAACAAAUGCCCUGCUUCCAGGAAAAGCCUCUAAGCAUCAGGUAACAUCAAAUCGUACCCCAAACCGACACAGGUGGUCAGGUAGAGAAUACCAAGGCGCUUGAGAGAACUCGGGUGAAGGAACUAGGCAAAAUGGUGCCGUAACUUCGGGAGAAGGCACGCUGACACGUAGGUGAAGUGAUUUACUCACGGAGCUGAAGUCAGUCGAAGAUACCAGCUGGCUGCAACUGUUUAUUAAAAACACAGCACUGUGCAAACACGAAAGUGGACGUAUACGGUGUGACGCCUGCCCGGUGCCGGAAGGUUAAUUGAUGGGGUCAGCGCAAGCGAAGCUCCUGAUCGAAGCCCCGGUAAACGGCGGCCGUAACUAUAACGGUCCUAAGGUAGCGAAAUUCCUUGUCGGGUAAGUUCCGACCUGCACGAAUGGCGUAAUGAUGGCCAGGCUGUCUCCACCCGAGACUCAGUGAAAUUGAACUCGCUGUGAAGAUGCAGUGUACCCGCGGCAAGACGGAAAGACCCCGUGAACCUUUACUAUAGCUUGACACUGAACAUUGAGCCUUGAUGUGUAGGAUAGGUGGGAGGCUUUGAAGUGUGGACGCCAGUCUGCAUGGAGCCGACCUUGAAAUACCACCCUUUAAUGUUUGAUGUUCUAACGUGGACCCGUAAUCCGGGUUGCGGACAGUGUCUGGUGGGUAGUUUGACUGGGGCGGUCUCCUCCUAAAGAGUAACGGAGGAGCACGAAGGUUGGCUAAUCCUGGUCGGACAUCAGGAGGUUAGUGCAAUGGCAUAAGCCAGCUUGACUGCGAGCGUGACGGCGCGAGCAGGUGCGAAAGCAGGUCAUAGUGAUCCGGUGGUUCUGAAUGGAAGGGCCAUCGCUCAACGGAUAAAAGGUACUCCGGGGAUAACAGGCUGAUACCGCCCAAGAGUUCAUAUCGACGGCGGUGUUUGGCACCUCGAUGUCGGCUCAUCACAUCCUGGGGCUGAAGUAGGUCCCAAGGGUAUGGCUGUUCGCCAUUUAAAGUGGUACGCGAGCUGGGUUUAGAACGUCGUGAGACAGUUCGGUCCCUAUCUGCCGUGGGCGCUGGAGAACUGAGGGGGGCUGCUCCUAGUACGAGAGGACCGGAGUGGACGCAUCACUGGUGUUCGGGUUGUCAUGCCAAUGGCACUGCCCGGUAGCUAAAUGCGGAAGAGAUAAGUGCUGAAAGCAUCUAAGCACGAAACUUGCCCCGAGAUGAGUUCUCCCUGAGACUU
rnacentral:rRNA from 1 species